rnacentral:ncRNA from 1 species
CGACCUCAGAUCAGACGAGAUUACCCGCUAAAUUUAAGCAUAUCAAUAAGCGGUGGAAAAGAAACGAAAACGAAUUCUCCAAGUAGCGGCGAGCGAAACGAGAAAAGUCCAUACACCGAAGUCGGCGAGCAGUUGUGUUCGUCAACAGUGUGGUGUUAAAGGUGUCGUUGCAUGUGCUGAAAUCAGUUCGUAGGCUCCCUUGAUUGGGGCUUCAGAGCGGGUGCAGGACCCAUAACGAACGAUGUUUUGUGCAUGGUGUCGCGGCUCCUAAUCGAGUCGGGUUGCUUGAGACUGCAGCCCAAAGCGGGUGGUAAAUCUCACCCAAGACUAAAUAUUCGUACGAGACCGAUAGCGAACAAGUACCGCGGAGGGGAAAGUUGAAAAGAACUCUGAAGA